GCGGCCCGCACAGCGCCUACGCAGUGCCCCGCAGGGGCUCCGAGCGCUCCCCGCACCGCCCCCCCCGCCCCGCCCGCGCAGCCCGAGCGCGCGCAAGUCCCAGUGGGCCCGCCUCUGCGUGCGAACGUGCGUGCGUGCCGUGAGCUCGCGGGGCACCUCGGGCCUCGCCUUGCCCUCGCCCUCAGCCCCUGUGCUUGCUCUGCGUAGGUUGUCUUCAACCCUCUGGCCUCCCUGCCCCGCUUCGCGUGUGCCCACCCGCUAGGCAACGCAAGCCCGCGCCCCGGCCGGCUUCCCCCUUCUAAAUUUAAAGACGGUGCAGCGUUCACGCCUCCCGCCCCAGGUGCCUUCUCAGGCAAAUCUCCGCGCCAGAGAUGCCUCGCCACCGAGGACCACGGCGACGGUGGGUCAAGUCCGGAGCCUGACCAGUCCGGAGAGUGAUAAGUGAGUUCUGGAGGCUAGUCUGAGAUCAAGGUGUUGGUUUCUUCUGAGGGCUAUGAGGAAGAAUCCGUCCCACGCCUGUUCCCUAUGUUUUGUUGAUAGCAGCGAGUCCUUGGUAUUCUGAGGCUUACAGAUGCCUCAGUUAGUCUCUGCCUUUGUCUUCACGUGGCCUUCUCCCCGUGUGUUUCUCUCGCCUCUUCUUUGAAGGACACCAGCCAUACUGGAUUAAGGGCCCAUCCUACUCCGUUUGUUGCCAAGAUCUUGGAUCAUCCUUACGAGCAUUACUCUGAAGUCUUUUUCAGCUCCCAAUUCCUGUUCUUCGGAAUUACUUUCCAAAAUAAACUAUCUGCACACAAACUCUGUUUCAGACUCUGCUUUUGAGACUAAUACACUAAGAAUAUAGAAUACUUGUACAAUAUAACCAGCAACCUUGACCUGACUGACAUGUAUAAAACAUUGCACCCAAACAAUGUAAAAUCUAUGAUCUUUUCAAGUGUAUAUGGAACAUUCAUCAGCAUUAAAUAUAUGCUAAGUGAAGGACAAGUUGUAAAAUUCAAAAGUAUCAAAUUCAUAGAGUAUUUAUUGCUCUGACCACGGUGGAAUUCAGUUAGAAAUAAUAAUAAAAAAGGAUAACUGAAAAUAACCGAUGUGUUGAAAAUAAACAGUAAAUAAUCUUUGGGUCAAAAAGAAAAUCAACAAAAAUUUAGAAAAAAAAAUUGAAAUUAGUAGUAGUAAAAGUAUACCACCUCAAAACCAAACAGCUAACAUACCAAGAGGAAAAUUUACAUUUUUAUAUUUCAUUUGUUAUCAAAAAAAGCUGAAAAGUCAAUACAAUUUUAUUACCUAUAUCCACCAUGUUAGAAAUAGUAUACUAAUUAAACCAAAGUAGAAUGAUUGAAAUAAUGAAGGCAAGAGAAAAGGCUGUUGAAACAGAAAACAGAUGUCUCUUGAAUUUAUGCUUUGGUAAUGCUGAAUGACUUGGCGUUCCCCAAGCACCAUCCUUUCUUCUGCCCUUUUUGGAUGUAUAGCUGCUUAUGCUCAUAAAGCCCUGUCUCAGUUUGUCCAGUGAUGGAAUAUAACCUGCCCUUGAGAUCUCAGUUCAAAUGAAGCUGUCGCUGCCUUCCCAGGACAGACUUGACAGCUUCUCUUACCACCCACAUCUCUCUCUCCAUUUCAGCACUUUGCUAUUGGUAAAGUGAUUAUGAGCUGGCAGUCUAUGAUCUUCUAUCACCAGGGUCUGGCACCUAGUAAGUACCCAUCAAACUACUCUUGACUGAUAAAGUGAGUGAGUGGCAGUUUAUCCAGAAACCUGGAGACUGAGAGGAAUAGGUAAUUUUGAUACCCAGAUAGACAACAAGCAUUGUCACUGAAAGCACUCAUAUGAGAAAAGGUACAGAACUGGAGGAGAUAGUUACAAUCAUGUGUCUUGUGAUUAACAAGGGAUUCAUUCUGACUGGAUAGAAAAGGCUUUGAAAUCAGGAUGGGGAAUUAUUAAACAACUGGAAGAAUAUACCGAAAUGAUGGCUCGUGACAUCCUGGAAUACAAAAUGAAGAUGGGACUGACCUUUGCGGCCCUCAGCUCCCAGAGCAUAAUGAAAAUGGCAGGAUGGCAUUCUCACAGGGCUAGGAAACCCCAGGGCACAGAACUACCACUGCUCUGGGAACAGAGUGAAGGGUCCCAGAAUCCCUCAGAUAAUGUCAGAGGAUUGGGACAGGCUGGAGGCUGUUCCAAGUGCUAGAAAGGGCUUUUUAUUUCUUUUGGCUUUUUAGAGUUUUGAUACAACUUAAGGGAAGACAAUUCUGGUUCACAAACUGUUGGAAGAGGUACAUGAUCUUGGGGGCUAAUAAAAUGCCUGUACUAAUAAUGGGUAACUUUGAAUACUUACUAUACCUGAUACCUCACACCCCCAUCUCUUAUUUAAGCCUCGCCAUUCUUGUGCCCAUUUGACAGAUGAAUGGGAGAGGGGAUCUAAGAGAGGUGAAGAAAUUUGCCCCAAACACAAAGCGGGUAAGGGAUCCUACUGGGAUUCCAAUGCAGCUUGAUUCUGAGCUCUUAACUAUGCUCUUAAUCCACCUACCUCCCAAAUGCAUGGUCUGAAUAAGGGUUCUGUAAGAAAAGGAUAGCCCUUUGCCAGGCCUUGACAAUGCGAUCUUUGCUUUUUAGAUAUUUGUCCUAGGAGAUCCAAUCCUCUCCUCUCCCUUUAACAUUCCUCUUACAAGAACUGAAACAUUAGCCCUUCAGAGAGAUCUUGGUGCUUAGAUCCCUCUCCAUGGAGGCAUCAACAGACCAGCCAGAUGUCCACAAUUAUAUCAAUCACAUGUGGUAUGUAGGAGAAAGAGAAAGCUAUUCCUGGUUGUUUGUGUUAAGAGGUAAGGAAAUGCAGGAAUCAGGAGCAACUAAAAGGAAGAAUCAUCACCUGAGAAAGCAUUGAUUUCACAUCCUGAAGGGCUGAAUGAAGAGUUCCGCAUAACAUCCCCUCCAUUAACUCAGCAGAAGGGAGAGCCUAAAAGAUACUCUGAGUCUAGGCCCUCUGAUUCUUGCCAUGCUUGCUCAAAGCAACUGCCUGACUCCAUUUCUGGCAGGAACCAUAAUGAAACAAUCUUUGUGGGAGCACAUGAAAAGAACAAUGCAGGCUUCCUCCAACAGUCCACCAUAUAUGAGAAGAUCACCAUUGACAGAUUUGGUUCUAAGAUGUGCAGAACUGUCUGUUGUUGGCUGACUGAUACUGAUUGCUGAUAGACUGGCAGCAUUUCAAGGUUUUAAACAUGAUCACUACUGACAAAUUUAUUAGUCUCUUAAGCAAGCUAUCAACAACCUCCAAAGUGACUACCUUAGGGGAUCCCACUAUAAGGAAAGACUAAUCUCAGACUGGAGAAGAUGGACUGCUGUUACUGCAUAGGAGGGCUGGAAGAAGUUAGGAGUUCAAGGUUCCAGCUUCGUCAGAAUCUGCCCAAGUAUAUUCUCACACCAAUUUUCAGAGUCCCAAAUAAUGCCUUAACUUUAUAUGAGAGACCUUGCCAGCCAGGCAAUUCAAAACAUGGUGCAAGCCACCACAAAGUUAGACAUUGGUUUUGCUUUUUUUUUUUUUUUUUAGAAAUCUCAGUCUAGAAAGAAACAGAUGUACUUGAAAGGUCAGUUAUGAUAGUUAUGAGUUGUGUGCUCUGAAUUACAUUAAUGUGUCUGAGUCUCAAUUCUAAAUUUGUAAGAUGACAGUAAUUAAUACCCAUGAGUGUGGUGAGAAAAAAGAUAUGAUAUCUCUGUAUAUUCUGUUUCAGUCAAACAAACUUGAUUCCUAAUGUGAGAGUAGGAAACCCUAACAGCCCAAGAGCAAACCAUCCUUCUACAUCUACAUUCCUGUUCUCUGCUUGUCUCUGGUGGUAGAGCAGAAAGGGCCCUUGAUUAGAAAUGAGGAAAGUGUAAUUCUGAGCUGUGAGCCUGAAUAGCCAGAUUCAUAAAACUGAGAUACCAGUUACCUAUUUCGCAGGAUUGUUGUGAAAGUAAUACUGAAUCUAACACUGUGACAAUAAAUGAUAUGCACAGGCUCGCAACACUGGUAAUUCCAAUGCCACUUGCUCUUUUGAUAAUGUAUGUGAAGUCCAAGUAUAGGGUUUGAUCCCUUUCCCCAUCUACCCUCCUUGGAUCACUCUCUUUGGCCAGUGAAUCUUCAGGGGAAGAGGGGGAUCCAGGAGAAUGUUCGCCAAGUUACAGCAAUCACCCUUUAAGUGGAGUGUGGCUUCCGUCUCAUGAUGGAGUGGAAUCAAAUGGAAUGGAAUGGAGUGGAAACUAACAGAGAGCACUGCACAUGACAAGGAUAAGUACUGUCUCCUGAAACUUUUGAUUCCUUUGCCCGUGUGUAAGUGGGUGCUCGUGUACUCACACAUCCGUAGGUAUAUGCAUUGGGUCUUUCUGCAACAUGUGUUUCCUACUGUGGGCUGUGGCCAUAAAAGCACAUAUGCUUCUGAAUGCUCAGUGUAAAGGCUCUCCCCGACCCAUGUCCCUCAUGGGACCGUAAUUAGCUGCUCUACCUGGGAGAGACAGAUCCUCCAUCGCCCAGCACAGAUGAGGCACCGUGGCUGAGAGCUCAUCCCUGAAGCCAAGGCUUGGGCAUUCAGAACUCAGCUUCACCCCAAGUCAAUCAGAGGGCAUCUUUGGGGGGGAAUUUUCUGAUCAGGAAGAUGGCCAGCCCAGCACGAGGGAAGAAAAUGUGACCACGUAGUUCCUGUGGUUACCAGCCCUGCCCUGCCCUCGCUUGUUGGGAGUUAUAAACCCAAGCCUGGAAAAGAGAAGCAGCCCCUGCCCUGGGCAGCCUCUCUGAGAAGAUGUGUCGUCUUCCUCUCCCUCUGCUGCUCUUCCUUCUAUGCUCCAGAGCUAAAGCUGGUGAGUCUCGGGAUCCUUCCCACUGCAAGAUGCAGGAUCAGCCCCUAAAACAAAGUUUAGUCUGAAGACUGAGUUCCCACUAUGGCGCUGUGGGUUCGGUGGCAUCUUGGCAGUGCUGGGACACUGGUUGAAGCCCUGGCCCAGCACAGUGGUUACGGAUCUGGCAUUGCCGCAGCUGCUGUAGGUUGAACCUGAGGCUCAGAUCUGAUCCUUGGCCAGGGAACUCCAUAUGCUGCGGGGUGGCCAAAAAAGAAAAGAAAAGAAAAAGCUUAGUCUGAGGACAGCUGACUCAUAAACAGAACCUGAGGAUCUCUCCCCAAGAGCCCCGAGUGCAGUUUCCACUUGGACUUUGCCCCCCCGCCCCCAUUCUCUGCAGCCUAUGGUAGUUCCCAGGAACGAGGCACCCCACAUUGAUGGGGGAAAGCCCAGAGCAGGUGGGAGGAAGAGGGUGUCUGCUCCUUAAAUCACGUGUGACACUCCGCUUAUAGUCCUUGUAAUCUGGCUGAUGUGUGAGUGCUCACGGAUAUGGAGAUGGUCGAGACAGGAACCUGGAGAGCUUGUCCUGCAUGUGACAGAGGAGGGCUGAGCAAGCCCAGCAUGGACUGGGGGAAAUUCAUGGUGAAAAGUGACAGCAUGGCGUCUGAGGCCAAGCUGGCUGCCUUGUCUGGGAGAAGGAAUGAGAACUUCUGUGGGGGCUGCAGGUGGGGAAAGCAGAAUCCAGAGCCACCUGAGAGGGAAGAUGGGUAGAACACAGGCUGAGGGUGGAGUCAAAAAAAGCCUCCCCCAGUUUUAACCCAGCUUAUGCAUUCGGUGUUCACGCCCUGGGGUUCUCUGUUCCAGGGGAAUCAUCGGGGGCCCAAAGAGCAAGCCACAUUCUCGCCCCUGCAUGGCCCACCUGGAAACUGUCACUCCCCAGGAUAAGCUGCCGGCUCGUGGUGGUUUCCUGAUAAGAAGGGGCUUUGUGCGGACAGCUGCUCACUGUGCAGGAAGGGAGACUCGGGGGCCUCUUCUGUGCUCUGGGGUGUCUCCUAUGGACCGUCGGAUGCAAAGCCCCCUGCUGUCUUCACCCGGAUCUCCCAUGACGGGCCCUGGACUGCGAAGGUCCUGAAGGAGAAUUAGCCUGGAGCCUGGGCCAACCUGAGUGGAGACCUACCACUGGACUUGAGUCGGUUCUCCUGCCACUCACUCUGGAUCUGCCUCCGGGUCCUGCUGACGUCCCGCCAGGUCCCUAAGCUUCAAGAAGGCUCCUCCAGAUCACAGAAAUCCCAGUAAUUCUCAGGAAAGACUGGGCUUCCAGACCGAGUGUGUGUCUCCUCUCUCCACUGCUCUCUCCUCGCAGCAUCGGGCACUCCAUAAGCCUUGACGGGGGUGCCUGUGUGGUGUGUGUGUGUGUCAAGAGAGAGACAGACAUGCAGAGGACAUAAUGAAGAAAAAUAGGGAAAGAAAGAAGAGAAAGGGGUUCCUCGGUGAGCCAGGACCCGUAUUUCCAACUUGGACAAGAAAUUACACCAGACCCUUGCCUGCCUUCAUCGUCCAUGGGACAUCAAUUCUGACUGACCAGAAUCACGGAGAACACUGUGAACGGAAGGAUGUUCACAGCAUCCCUGACCUCCCCCACUAGAUGCCAGGGCCACAGCCCCCUCUCACCACCAGCGAUGAACCACAACCGUCCCCAGGCAUUGCUAGUGUCCCUCGGGGGAGUGGGAGCAUGUGGCGUGAAGUUGUUGGGCAGGAAUGACCCUGGGUUGGGAAGCAGGGGUGUAGACGCCCGCCUUAGAGAGGCAGUUGGCAUUGCACUGGGCCCCCCUCCCAGACGACCUCGAUAAGAGAAGAUCUACCAUCUGUGGGGCUUUGAUCUGAGAUGUAGAGAUCAUCCCUCACUCACUUCUGCACAACAGAUACAGGGGACUGAUUAGAGGAAAGAGCAUCACACGUUUUGCACGAACAACAGCCACAAACGGCUGCCCCCAAACCACAGUAGUCUGUGUGACAUCAACAAUGCCCAGCAUUUGUGGGGAGGCACAGACUAGAGAGGGUCAGUCCUGCUGAGGGCAGCAAGACACUAUCUCCAAAUCCAGAGUCCAGGGAUAGAACAGCUCUUGAUGAACAGGAAGGAGCCCACCCUGGUACUUCUGUCUGGUUACUUGCUGCUGUGGCAGGAAAUCUGUCUUGGUUAAUGGGCUCAUUCUCAUGCUGAGCGUCAGCCCCACCCCCCUGCUUCUGUGUCCCUACACAGCAGCCUGAAGCCAUCAGUCCCACAGAACCCUCACAGGGAGAGGAUCUGGGACAUGUGGGAGGAGAGGGAGCUGCCACCUUCAUGAAAUUAAGCUGUGACAACAUCUGCGCAGGGCUUGGUAGCUGAGGGGCCCAUGGGGGCCUGCCUUGCCCUCUGACUCCAUGCAGGGUGGCCAACAUUGGGGGGGGGAUGGCAGGGAGGGUGGGGCAGGACCAAGAGUGGGGCUGGCUCAGUCCUUCCCCUUCUCUGUCCUCAGGGGGACUCCAGGGCCCCUCGUGUGUAACAAUGUGGCCCAGGGCAUUGUCUCCUAUGGAAGAAAGGAUGGAACACCUCCACGAGCCUGCACCAAAGUCUCAAGUUUCCUGCCCUGGAUAAAGAAAAUCAUGAAAAGCCUCUAACUGCAGGAGCCAGCUGUCCUGCCUGGAGCUGAUCCAGAGUCACUUGGGGCUUGGGGUGCCGGCUGCUGAAUAAAUGUCUCUUAGCUGAGCACGAA